GAGGAUGAAAGUGGGGGACCGCAAGGCCUCACGCGUUUGGAGCGGCCGAUGGCAGAUUAGGUAGUUGGUGGGGUAAAGGCUUACCAAGCCUGCGAUCUGUAGCUGGUCUGAGAGGAUGAUCAGCCACACUGGGACUGAGACACGGCCCAGACUCCUACGGGAGGCAGCAGUGGGGAAUUUUGGACAAUGGGCGCAAGCCUGAUCCAGCCAUUCCGCGUGCAGGACGAAGGCCUUCGGGUUGUAAACUGCUUUUGUACGGAACGAAAGGGCUCUCUCUAAUACAGGGGGCAUAUGACGGUACCGUAAGAAUAAGCACCGGCUAACUACGUGCCAGCAGCCGCGGUAAUACGUAGGGUGCAAGCGUUAAUCGGAAUUACUGGGCGUAAAGCGUGCGCAGGCGGUUUUGUAAGACAGAGGUGAAAUCCCCGGGCUCAACCUGGGAACUGCCUUUGUGACUGCAAGGCUGGAGUGCGGCAAAAGGGGAUGGAAUUCCGCGUGU
rnacentral:rRNA from 1 species